UACGAAGGGGGCUAGCGUUGUUCGGAAUUACUGGGCGUAAAGCGCGCGUAGGCGGAUCUGCAAGUCGGGGGUGAAAUCCCGAGGCUCAACCUCGGAACUGCCUUCGAUACUGCGGGUCUCGAGUCCGGGAGAGGUGGAGUGGAAUUCCUAGUGUAGAGGUGAAAUUCGUAGAUAUUAGGAAGAACACCAGUGGCGAAGGCGGC
rnacentral:rRNA from 1 species